CCUACGGGAGGCAGCAGUGGGGAAUCUUGCGCAAUGCGCGAAAGCGUGACGCAGCAACGCCGCGUGAGGGAAGACGGCCUUCGGGUUGUAAACCUCUUUCAGUUGGGACGAAGCCACGGCGGUUAAUACCCGUCUGUGGUGACGGUACCUUCAGAAGAAGCCCCGGCUAACUACGUGCCAGCAGCCGCGGUAAUACGUAGGGGGCAAGCGUUGUCCGGAAUCAUUGGGCGUAAAGCGCGUGUAGGCGGCUUGGUAAGUCCGCUCUGAAAGCCCGGGGCUCAACCCCGGGAGGCGGGUGGAUACUGUCAAGCUCGAGUCCGGAAGAGGCGAGUGGAAUUCCUGGUGUAGCGGUGAAAUGCGCAGAUAUCAGGAGGAACACCAAUGGCGAAGGCAGCUCGCUGGGACGUGACUGACGCUGAGACGCGAAAGCGUGGGGAGCAAACAGGAUUAGAUACCCUGGUAGUCCACGCCGUAAACGAUGGGCACUAGGUGUGGGAGGUGUCGACUCCUCCCGUGCCGAAGCUAACGCAUUAAGUGCCCGCCUGGGGAGGACGCGCGAGACGAACACAAGAAGUAGACGCGNGAGACGNGCGACGACGACGACGAGGGAGGAGG
rnacentral:rRNA from 1 species